UGGGGAAUUUUGGACAAUGGGGGAAACCCUGAUCCAGCCAUCCCGCGUGUGCGAUGAAGGCCUUCGGGUUGUAAAGCACUUUUGGCAGGAAAGAAACGUCAUGGGUUAAUACCCCGUGAAACUGACGGUACCUGCAGAAUAAGCACCGGCUAACUACGUGCCAGCAGCCGCGGUAAUACGUAGGGUGCAAGCGUUAAUCGGAAUUACUGGGCGUAACGCGUGCGCAGGCGGUUCGGAAAGAAAGAUGUGAAAUCCCAGAGCUCAACUUUGGAACUGCAUUUUUAACUACCGGGCUAGAGUGUGUCAGAGGGAGGUGGAAUUCCGCAUGUAGCAGUGAAAUGCGUAGAUAUGCGGAGGAACACCGAUGGCGAAGGCAGCCUCCUGGGAUAACACUGACGCUCAUGCACGAAAGCGUGGGGAGCAAACAGG
rnacentral:rRNA from 1 species